rnacentral:rRNA from 1 species
CCUACGGGUGGCAGCAGUGAGGAAUAUUGGUCAAUGGACGAGAGUCUGAACCAGCCAAGUAGCGUGAAGGAUGACUGCCCUAUGUAUUGUAAACUUCUUUUGUAUGGGAAUAAAAACUGGUAUGCAUACCCUCUUGUGUGUACCAUAUGAAUAAGCAUCGGCUAACUCCGUGCCAGCAGCCGCGGUAAUACGGAGGAUCCGAGCGUUAUCCGGAUUUAUUGGGUUUAAAGGGUGCGUAGGUGGAUUGUUAAGUCAGUUGUGAAAGUUUGAGGCUCAACCGUAGACUUGCAGUUGAAACUGGCAGUCUCGAGUACAGUAGAGGUGGGCGGAAGUCGUGGUGUAGCGGUGAAAUGCUUAGAUAUCGCGAAGAACUCCGAUUGCGAAGGCAGCUUACUGGACUCAAACUGACGCUGAGGCUCGAAAGUGUGGGUAUCAAACAGGAUUAGAUACCCGAGUAGUC